GAUGAACGCUGGCGGCGUGCUUAACACAUGCAAGUCGAACGAGAAUCAACGGAUUGAGGAUUCGUCCAAAUGAAGUUGAGGAAAGUGGCGGACGGGUGAGUAACGCGUGAGGAACCUGCCUCGGAGUGGGGAAUAACAGUUGGAAACGGCUGCUAAUACCGAAUACGUUCUUUUUGUCGCAUGGCAGAGGGAAGAAAGGGAGGCUCUUCGGAGCUUUCGCUGAAGGAGGGGCUUGCGUCUGAUUAGCUAGUUGGAGGGGUAACGGCCCACCAAGGCGACGAUCAGUAGCCGGUCUGAGAGGAUGAACGGCCACAUUGGGACUGAGACACGGCCCAG
rnacentral:rRNA from 1 species